rnacentral:rRNA from 1 species
CAGCAGCCCGAGUGGUGGUCGUUUUUAUUGGGCCUAAAGCGUCCGUAGCCGGUCUAGUAAAUCCUUGGAUAAAUCGUACAGCUUAACUGUACGGCUCCCGGGGAGACUGCUAGACUUGGGACUGGGAGAGGUCGGAGGUACUCCAGGGGUAGGGGUGAAAUCUUGUAAUCCUUGGGGGACCACCAGUGGCGAAGGCGUCCGACCAGAACGGGUCCGACGGUAAGGGACGAAGCCCUGGGUCGCGAACCGGAUUAGAUACCCGAGUAGUC